rnacentral:rRNA from 1 species
UACGGAGGGUGCAAGCGUUAAUCGGAAUUACUGGGCGUAAAGCGCACGCAGGUGGCUGAGUCAGUCGAUUGUGAAAGCCCUGGGCUUAACCUGGGAAUUGCAGUCGAUACUACUCAGCUAGAGUAUGGGAGAGGGUAGUGGAAUUCCCGGUGGUAGCGGUGAAAUGCGUAGAUAUCGGGAGGAACAUCAGUGGCGAAGGGCGGCUACCU